rnacentral:rRNA from 1 species
CGCGUAGGUGGUUCUUCAAGUCAGAUGUUAAAUCUCCCGGCUUAACUGGGAGCUGUCAUCUGAUACUGCUGGACUUGAGGGCGGUAGAGGGAGGUGGAAUUCCCGGUGUAGUGGUGAAAUGCGUAGAUAUCGGGAGGAACACCAGUGGCGAAAGCGGCCUCCUAGGCCGUUCCUGACACUAAGGCGCGAAAGCGUGGGGAGCGAACAGGAUCAGAUACCCUGGUAGUCCACGCCCUAAACUGUGGAAACUAGGUACAGGGAGUAUCGACCCUUCCUGCGCCGUAGCUAACGCGUUAAGUUUCCCGCCUGGGGACUACGGUCGCAAGACUAAA